rnacentral:rRNA from 1 species
GAUGAACGCUAGCGGGAGGCUUAACACAUGCAAGUCGAGGGGCAGCACAGGUAGCAAUACUGGGUGGCGACCGGCGGAUGGGUGCGUAACGCGUAUGCAACCUACCAUUGAUUGGGGCAUAGCCCGAAGAAAUUCGGAUUAAUACUCCAUAAUAUUCAUCAAAGGCAUCUUUUAUGAAUUAAAGCUUUUGCGAUCAAUGAUGGGCAUGCGUGACAUUAGUUAGUUGGUGAGGUAACGGCUCACCAAAACGGUGAUGUCUAGGGGUUCUGAGAGGAUUAUCCCCCACACUGGUACUGAGACACGGACCAGACUCCUACGGGAGGCAGCAGUGAGGAAUAUUGGUCAAUGGACGCAAGUCUGAACCAGCCAUGCCGCGUGCAGGAUGACGGCCCUAUGGGUUGUAAACUGCUUUUCCACGGGAAGAACCCUCCGACGUGUCGGAGACUGACGGUACCGUGGGAAUAAGCAUCGGCUAACUCCGUG